AACAACUCGACUCGUCAGAAGGGCCUCACUGCUUCCGCCGGCAUCCCACGGGGCUCUCACCCUCCUGGGCGCCCUGUUCCAAGGGACUUGGACACCGCCUUCCACACAGACUCCAACCUGCAAUCUACAACUCGUGCCGCAAAGCACGAUUUCAAAUCUGAGCUCUUGCCGCUUCACUCGCCGCUACUGAGGCAAUCCCUGUUGGUUUCUUUUCCUCCGCGCUUAUUGAUAUGCA
rnacentral:rRNA from 1 species